UGUAUUACUAUCUUCUAGAUAAAAGAUAUGAACCACUAGAAUAUGAGUCAUUUGGACUCAAGUCCCUUAUGUGAAUACCAUGCACAUUCCUAUACUCAUGUAGUGCAUAACAUAGCAUUCAUUUGGCAAUUGUCAUCCCUACAAAAAAACGUAAUUUCUAUAAGUGUGAGUGUGAGAGAUAAGAACUAACUGGAAAAUAAAACACUACCACAGGUGCUCCUGUUGGUGUUAAUUUGUUCUUUGGUUUCUUCAAAGAGGAUGCUAUGGAUCCACAGCUUUCUUCAUAACUAGAGACACGUGAGGAUGAUGGUGAAGAGGGAAGGAAACAAUUCAAGGUCGAAAACCCAGACAUAUAUAGUUUUGACUCUUGGUUUUGUUUCUUGAGUGGGUCUAAGAUGACAUAGUUGCUGUUCCUCUCUCGCAAGCAAGAGUAAGAACUAAUGACCACAGGCUUAAAGAGCAAUGAUUGAGGGCCAAGCUUAGCAGAGCUGGAUUAUAAAUGGAAAGAUGAGGUAAUGGUUGUAUAUUGAAUCAAUGUUUAGCUAAGUUGGUUCAUUUAUAGCUAGCAAUCAUAUUAGAUUAAUCCAUUUAUUCUGCAGAAGUCGCUAAGUUGGUGUGAAAUGCAGGAGUUGCAAGGAAACUGUGGGACAGCCACUUGACACUUUGACAAGUCACAUGGUUUUUGUGACUGCUAAUUAAUUUGACCAUAUUGUUUUCAUAAAACCUUGUUGGAUGUCCAUAUCCAUAUGCCUUAUUCGUUGUCCCCAA
rnacentral:lncRNA from 1 species